rnacentral:rRNA from 1 species
AACGAACGCUGGCGGCAUGCCUAACACAUGCAAGUCGAACGAGACCUUCGGGUCUAGUGGCGCACGGGUGCGUAACGCGUGGGAACCUGCCCUUAGGUUCGGAAUAACUCCCCGAAAGGGGUGCUAAUACCGGAUAAUGUCUUCGGACCAAAGAUUUAUCGCCUUUGGAUGGGCCCGCGUUGGAUUAGCUAGUUGGUAGGGUAAAAGCCUACCAAGGCGACGAUCCAUAGCUGGUCUGAGAGGAUGAUCAGCCACACUGGGACUGAGACACGGCCCAGACUCCUACGGGAGGCAGCAGUGGGGAAUAGUGGACAGUGGGCGAAAGCCUGAUCCAGCAAUGCCGCGUGAGUGAUGAAGGCCUUAGGGUUGUAAAGCUCUUUUAACCGGGAUGAUAAUGACAGUACCGGGAGAAUAAGCUCCGGCUAACUCCGUG